rnacentral:lncRNA from 1 species
UGGUAGGCUUAAUAUGAUCUAACACACUGACGAUAAAAGACAGCUAAUAUCAUACACUGAGUUACCACAAUAUUGUUAAGAAUACUAGUUUCAUGUGAUUUAAAAAUAGAUGUGCUUUAACUUUAUCCUGUUAGUAUGAUUACAGAUGUAUUUGUGAAUGUUUUUGUUCUGUUUUAUAGAUUAUGCUCAUUUUGUGUGUGUGUGGGGGGGAAUAGAGUUCAAUAUUCAAAUCAAAUAUAAUUCACAAGCACACGGUACAUUGUUCCUUCUACUCUACCUAUAGUCUGGGCUUCUAUCUGUGGUCUCUUAAAAUCCUCAGGACAUCUUCCCAGGUGCUUCUGGCUUUUCCACUCCAUUGAG